CGGACAGCAGCGACAACCAAUUUUGACAGAUCGACAGAGAUCUUCUUAAGUUCAGCCUCUUUUGCGGGACUAAAAGGCAUUUUCUCUAAUUUGGCAAUGCGAGCAUCAAAUUCGUUAGCAAGACGAGAAACGCGAUUGGCUUCAGUUGAUGUUACAGCGACAAUACGACGAAUACCCUUUGCAAUACCAUUUUCUUCUAAAAUGACAAAGUCUUUAAUCUCACCACUUUUAUCACAAUGAGUACCACCGCAAAAUUCAAUACUAUAUUUAGUCCAAUCAGGUUUCUUUGGUUCUUGCAAAAGUGUAUCUAUAUCAACACCAAUACAAACGACACGAACAGGAUCGGGAUAAACUUCACCAAAAACAGCACGCAAUCCAUUAAUUUCUUUGGCUUUGCUCAAAGCAACUUCCUUUGAAUACACGGACAAGUUGUCUUGAAUUACGUUGUUACAAUAAUUCUCAACUAAGAGAAGCUUAUCAAUAGGAAUUGAGGACUUGUACGAAAAAUCAAAUCGCAGCUUUUCUU